rnacentral:rRNA from 1 species
GACGAACGCUGGCGGCGUGCUUAACACAUGCAAGUCGAACGAUGAACCCGGAGCUUGCUCCGGCGGAUUAGUGGCGAACGGGUGAGUAACACGUGAGUAACCUGCCCUUGACUCUGGGAUAACUGCGGGAAACUGUAGCUAAUACCGGAUACGACCCUCGGCGGCAUCGCAUGGGGGUGGAAAGAAUUUCGGUCAAGGAUGGACUCGCGGCCUAUCAGCUAGGUGGUUAGGUAACGGCUCACCAAGGCGACGACGGGUAGCCGGCCUGAGAGGGUGACCGGCCACACUGGGACUGAGACACGGCCCAGACUCCUACGGGAGGCAGCAGUGGGGAAUAUUGCACAAUGGGCGCAAGCCUGAUGCAGCAACGCCGCGUGAGGGAUGACGGCCUUCGGGUUGUAAACCUCUUUUAGUAGGGAAGAAGCGAAAGUGACGGUACCUGCAGAAAAAGCACCGGCUAACUACGUGCCAGCCGCCGCGGUAA